rnacentral:SRP_RNA from 1 species
UGCCAGACCCUGGCUAACAGAUCAGUGCCCAACUCCAUCAGAUCCGGAAGGAAGCAGUGGUAAGUAUUUGGUUUGUGUAGUCAGUCAGUCUGGCUUUU